AAUAGGGACAGUCGGGGGCAUCAGUAUUCAAUUGUCAGAGGUGAAAUUCUUGGAUUUAUUGAAGACUAACUACUGCGAAAGCAUUUGCCAAGGAUGUUUUCAUUAAUCAGGAACGAAAGUUAGGGGAUCGAAGACGAUCAGAUACCGUCGUAGUCUUAACCAUAAACUAUGCCGACUAGGGAUCGGACGAUGUUAUUUUUUGACGCGUUCGGCACCUUACGAGAAAUCAAAGUGCUUGGGCUCCAGGGGGAGUAUGGUCGCAAGGCCGAAACUUAAAGAAAUUGACGGAAGGGCACCACCAGGGGUGGAGCCUGCGGCUUAAUUUGACUCAACACGGGGAAACUCACCAGGUCCAGACACAAUGAGGAUUGACAGAUUGAGAGCUCUUUCUUGAUUUUGUGGGUGGUGGUGCAUGGCCGUUCUUAGUUGGUGGAGUGAUUUGUCUGCUUAAUUGCGAUAACGAACGAGACCUUAACCUGCUAAAUAGCCCGUAUUGCUUUGGCAGUACGCUGGCUUCUUAGAGGGACUAUCGGCUCAAGCCGAUGGAAGUUUGAGGCAAUAACAGGUACUGUGAUGCCCUUAGAUGUUCUGAGGCCGCACGCGCGCUACACUGGACGGAGAGCCAGCGGAGUACUUACCCUUGGCCGGAAGGCCCGGGGUAAUCUGGUAAUGCGGAAC
rnacentral:rRNA from 1 species